GCCCCUGUCGUCCAAUGGCUAGGACAUCGCACCUUCAUCUCAAUGCAUUUGGAAAACUCUCGGCGAAGAUCGGCGUUCAAAUUGUCGCAGGGGCG